rnacentral:rRNA from 1 species
AGAGUUUGAUCCUGGCUCAGGAUGAACGCUGGCGGCGUGCCUAAUACAUGCAAGUCGAGCGAACGGACGAGAAGCUUGCUUCUCUGAUGUUAGCGGCGGACGGGUGAGUAACACGUGGAUAACCUACCUAUAAGACUGGGAUAACUUCGGGAAACCGGAGCUAAUACCGGAUAAUAUUUUGAACCGCAUGGUUCAAAAGUGAAAGACGGUCUUGCUGUCACUUAUAGAUGGAUCCGCGCUGCAUUAGCUAGUUGGUAAGGUAACGGCUUACCAAGGCAACGAUGCAUAGCCGACCUGAGAGGGUGAUCGGCCACACUGGAACUGAGACACGGUCCAGACUCCUACGGGAGGCAGCAGUAGGGAAUCUUCCGCAAUGGGCGAAAGCCUGACGGAGCAACGCCGCGUGAGUGAUGAAGGUCUUCGGAUCGUAAAACUCUGUUAUUAGGGAAGAACAUAUGUGUAAGUAACUGUGCACAUCUUGACGGUACCUAAUCAGAAAGCCACGGCUAACUACGUGCCAGCAGCCGCGGUAAUACGUAGGUGGCAAGCGUUAUCCGGAAUUAUUGGGCGUAAAGCGCGCGUAGGCGGUUUUUUAAGUCUGAUGUGAAAGCCCACGGCUCAACCGUGGAGGGUCAUUGGAAACUGGAAAACUUGAGUGCAGAAGAGGAAAGUGGAAUUCCAUGUGUAGCGGUGAAAUGCGCAGAGAUAUGGAGGAACACCAGUGGCGAAGGCGACUUUCUGGUCUGUAACUGACGCUGAUGUGCGAAAGCGUGGGGAUCAAACAGGAUUAGAUACCCUGGUAGUCCACGCCGUAAACGAUGAGUGCUAAGUGUUAGGGGGUUUCCGCCCCUUAGUGCUGCAGCUAACGCAUUAAGCACUCCGCCUGGGGAGUACGACCGCAAGGUUGAAACUCAAAGGAAUUGACGGGGACCCGCACAAGCGGUGGAGCAUGUGGUUUAAUUCGAAGCAACGCGAAGAACCUUACCAAAUCUUGACAUCCUUUGACAACUCUAGAGAUAGAGCCNAACAUGAUUUAAAAUAAUAAUAUUUGAUUUUGAUGAGCGUGCAAUACUUAAUAGUAAUUGAGCGUAUGCCGCUUUCGAUAUAUGGUUAACCGGCUUCGUUUUAUAAUCGCCUAAAUGUGCAUAUUGAAUAAUCUGUUCAGCUUUAUGAUCAUUAAUUUCAUAUGGAAAUAGUUGAACUAACUGCGCUGUAUAAGCUUCAACAGUUUGAUGAAUUAACGAUUGAUCUUCAAUAUAUCCGUAGAACAAAUCUUCAGUACAAACUACUUUACCUUUAUCAGGUUUAAUUGCACCUGCCAACAAUUGACCUACCAACGCUUUGGAAGAUUCAGGUUCACCAAUUAUACCUAAUGCUUCUCCUUGAUAAAUAUGUAAACUAAUAUUGUUUAAAUCGAUAUCUUCAGCAUCAUAUCCAAAAGGUAAAUACCAUUUUUUAUUCUGUUUAUUCCUAUAGUAGUGUGUUACUUUUAGUAACUUUAAAACAAUUGAACUUCCCAUCUAUUUUCAUCCUUCUAUAAUUGUAAUAACGCUAUAGGUAAGCCUUCUUCGGGUUCAUCGCUAUUAAAUCUAAACCCCCACGCAAAAAUACCUUUUAAUCUUUCUACUUUAAAAUAUUGAUUACUGCCAUCAGUCAGUUUAUAAAUUUUACCAAUUUCUAUCUUUUUUCUGUCUACUAAGUAACUUUCGGCAACAAUUACUUUACUUUGAUAAACGUCAUAUUCAUUUAAAAUACCGUUCAUCUCAGCUUUUCUCAUUUUCUCUUUAUAAAGUUGUAUUUCGUGUCUUAAUUCUGGCUCAGACAUCUCACUCAAUUUCUUCUGUUCCAUCGGCAAUACCACUUUCUUCUAAUUUAGCUUUAAUUUUAUCAUAUUUAUAUCCUUUUCUCAUAAGGCCUUCGAUAGUUUUUGAAAUUAAUUUCUGUUGCGUGUACUUCUUUCGAUUUUUAUUAUAAAUUUUUUCUAAAUCUCGUUGUAAUAAAUCGUCUAAAACCGCUUCAUCUUGUGUAAAAUCCAUUUCAUUCAAUACAGCAUGAAUGGUUUCCAUUUCAAACCCUUUUUGAAUUAAAGAUUGCAUUACUUUUUCUUUAACCUUAUUUUGUGGCCCUUUUUUUGUUUUAGAUAUUUUUUCAGCAAUUUGGAUAAUAUCAUCAAGUUCCUGUUGUUCUCUAUAAAGUUCUGUAAACAUUUCAAUGAUAUUUGGUUCUAUACCAAGUUGAUAUAGUUUUUGUUGAUAAAUUUUAGGUCCUUUAUCUGUCGUGCGAAUCAUUGUAUUUUUUAAACUUUCCGCAUAAUCUUGAUGGUCGAUUAACUUUUCGCGAUAACAAUAUUCAAUCACUUCAGAAAUCGCUUGCUCUGAUAUCUCUUCUUUUUGUAAAUAUUGUAUAACUUCUUUUUCAGUUCUCUUUUUAUAUGAUAAAUAUUGGAUUGCUUUGUUUAAACCUAUGCGAUAAUGAUCAUACUUUUGAAUCUCUGCCAUGUCAGCAGCUUCAAGUUGUUGCCCUUUUUUUAAAUUAAAUUUGACUAAUGUAUCGAUAUCUAUACCCAUUUCAAAUUGUUCGUCUAAAAAAAGAUUAAAACGUUCUUUGUUUUUCUUUUGAACUUCUAUUUUAGUAAUCUUCGGCACUGGAUCACCCCGUUACUUUCUCAAGUUUUAAUACAAUACUCUUUUAUUAUUCAAUAAGCCACUUCCUAUAGCAAAUGUUUAACUUUAAAUAUUUUUCGAUGCUAACAAAAAAUCACACUAUCAUCUUUUAAAAUGAAAGUGUGAUUACAAGCAAAUCUGUAAAAUUUAUAAAGCAGAAACAAUUCAACUUUAUCAUUAUGACAUUUCAAUUAAACCUUCUACAUUAUAGUUCCAAGCAUCUUACACAUGAAUGCAAGUAUUUAACGAUUUAAUUGUGACAUAGCCUGUUGAUAUUGUGUUUCAUUGAUAUAAUUUUGUUGCUUCAUUUUUUCUAAGUUCGUGCUUACACGUUGCGUAAAAUUCUCUGACAUAUUAUUGAUAUUAUAUACGCUAGGUGCAUUGACU